rnacentral:misc_RNA from 2 species
UCUCCGUUGGUGAACCAGCGGAGGGAUCAUUACCGAGUUUACAACUCCCAAACCCAAUGUGAACGUUACCAAACUGUUGCCUCGGCGGGAUCUCUGCCCCGGGUGCGUCGCAGCCCCGGACCAAGGCGCCCGCCGGAGGACCAACCAAAACUCUUUUUGUAUACCCCCUCGCGGGUUUUUUAUAAUCUGAGCCUUCUCGGCGCCUCUCGUAGGCGUUUCGAAAAUGAAUCAAAACUUUCAACAACGGAUCUCUUGGUUCUG